rnacentral:misc_RNA from 1 species
UCCGCCUUAGCGACGGCAGUCUCCUUAGAGUGCCCAACUUUACUUGCUGGCAACUAAGGACAAGGGUUGCGCUCGUUGCGGGACUUAACCCAACAUCUCACGACACGAGCUGACGACAGCCAUGCAGCACCUGUGCACCGGCCCCGAAAGGAGGGUGUGUUUCCACACCUGUCCGGUGCAUGUCAAGUCUGGGUAAGGUUCUUCGCGUUGCAUCGAAUUAAACCACAUGCUCCACCGCUUGUGCGGGCCCCCGUCAAUUCCUUUGAGUUUCAACCUUGCGGUCGUACUCCCCAGGCGGAGCACUUAAUGCGUUAGCUGCGGCACAGGAAGGGUCGAUACUUCCUACACCUAGUGCUCACCGUUUACGGCUAGGACUAC